AAAAAAAAAACAAAAAAAAACUGAGGGCGUACUAUUACGCCCUGCGGCGUUUAGAGCCGCUUAGAAUAGGGCAUAAUAGUACGCCCUCCGGUUGUAAGAGGUUAAAGGGAAACUCCAGUGCAAGGAAAACAAUCCGUUUUCCUGGCACUGCAGGUCCCCUCUCCCUCCCACCACCCAUCCCCCGGUAGCUGAAGGGGUGAAAACCCCUUCAGGUCACUUACCUGAGACCCUGCCGAUGUCCCUCGGCGGUGGUUACUGCUCGCCGCUGCUCCUCCCACACGCCGGCUGCGGAAACCUAACGUGUGGCAAUGACGCGCAUGCGAGCUCUCCAUAGG